ensembl:rRNA 5S_rRNA 5S ribosomal RNA
GUCUACAGCGAAGCCACCCUAAAUGUGCCCGAUCUCAUGUGAUCUCGGAAGCUAAGCAGUUUUGGGCCUGGUUAAUACUUGAAUGGGAGACCACCUAGGAAUAUCAGGUGCUGUAGGCA